rnacentral:rRNA from 1 species
AUGGCGACGAGCUAUGCAAUAGUAAACAAUGUCUGUGGGGAUGGUUCGUUGCGACUCAAGAGUCGCCGGUUCACAUACAAGGAGCUUCAGAUGAUAACAAACAACUUCCAGCGAGUGCUUGGUCGGGGAGGGUUUGGGUACGUCUACGACGGCUUCUUGGAGGACGGCACCCAGGUAGCAGUGAAGUUGCGGUCGCAUUCUUCCAAUCAAGGAGUCAAGGAGUUCCUCGCAGAGGUAGAUUCUUUUUCAGUCACUUCAUGUUCAAGGGCACAAAUGUGUGUUGUGAAAUUAAGGACUGAAAUUUGA